ACCCUCUUAAUAUAACUAAAUAUAACUGACUUCCAAUCAGUAAAUCCUGGAAAACCCCAGGAGAGAGUA
rnacentral:tRNA from 1 species